AUUGAACGCUGGCGGCAUGCCUUACACAUGCAAGUCGAACGGUAGCAGGUCUUCGGAUGCUGACGAGUGGCGAACGGGUGAGUAAUACAUCGGAACGUGCCUAGUAGUGGGGGAUAACUACUCGAAAGAGUGGCUAAUACCGCAUGAGAUCUACGGAUGAAAGCAGGGGAUCGCAAGCCCUUGUGCUACUAGAGCGGCCGAUGGCAGAUUAGGUAGUUGGUGGGAAAAAAGCUUACCAAGCCGACGAUCUGUAGCUGGUCUGAGAGGACGAUCAGCCACACUGGGACUGAGACACGGCCCAGACUCCUACGGGAGGCAGCAGUGGGGAAUUUUGGACAAUGGGCGCAAGCCUGAUCCAGCAAUGCCGCGUGCAGGAUGAAGGCCUUCGGGUUGUAAACUGCUUUUGUACGGAACGAAAAGCCCUGGGUUAAUACCCUGGGGUCAUGACGGUACCGUAAGAAUAAGCACCGGCUAACCACGUGCCAGCCGCCGCUGUAACAC
rnacentral:rRNA from 1 species